rnacentral:rRNA from 1 species
GAUGAACGCUAGCGGCAGGCCUAAUACAUGCAAGUCGAACGAGAUCACGAGGCUUGCUUCUUAUGACAGUGGCCCACGGGUGCGUAACGCGUAUGCACCCUACCUUAAUCAGUGGGAUAGCCCGAAGAAAUUCGGAUUAAGACCGCAUAAAAACACAGGCCAGCAUUAUCCAAUGUUCAAAUAUUUAUCGGUUUAAGAUGGGCAUGCGUGUCAUCGGCUUGUUGGCGGGGUAACGGCCCACCAAGGCGACGCUGACUAGGGGAUCUGAGAGGAUGACCCCCUAGACCUGUACUGAGACACGGACUAGACUGCUACGGAACGGAGCAGUAAGGAAUACAGUGGAAGGGAGGGUACUCUGAACCAGCCACGCCGGGUGCAGGAAGACAGCGGUCGGGAUCGUAAUCUGCUUGUAUUCGAGAAUAAACCUUUCUACGUGUAGGAAGCUGAAGGUACCGAAGGAAUAAGGACCGGCUAACUCCGUG